rnacentral:rRNA from 1 species
AACGUAGGACACAAGCGUUAUCCGGAGUUACUGGGCGUAAAGGGUGUGUAGGCGGACUUUUAAGUCAGCGGUGAAAUCUCCGGGCUCAACCCGGAAACUGCCAUUGAUACUAUUGGUCUUGAAUGUUGUUGAGGUGGGCGGAACGGGUCAUGUAGCGGUGAAAUGCAUAGAUAUGACCCGGAACACCGAUUGCGAAGGCAGCCCACUAAGCAACGAUUGACGCUGAGGCACGAAAGCGUGGGGAUCAAACAGG